rnacentral:rRNA from 1 species
GACAGCAGCCGCCGCGGUAAAACGAAGGGUGCAAGCGUUACUCGGAAUUACUGGGCGUAAAGCGUGCGUAGGUGGUGGUUUAAGUCCGUUGUGAAAGCCCUGGGCUCAACCUGGGAAUUGCAGUGGAUACUGGGUCACUAGAGUGUGGUAGAGGAUAGUGGAAUUUCCGGUGUAGCAGUGAAAUGCGUAGAGAUCGGAAGGAACAUCUGUGGCGAAGGCGACUAUCUGGGCCAACACUGACACUGAGGCACGAAAGCGUGGGGAGCAAACAGGAUUAGAUACCCGUGUAGUCCCUGUCUCUUAUAC